rnacentral:rRNA from 1 species
UACGGGAGGCAGCAGUGGGGAAUAUUGCACAAUGGGCGCAAGCCUGAUGCAGCCAUGCCGCGUGUAUGAAAAAGGCCUUCGGGUUGUAAAGUACUUUCAGUCGUGAGGAAGGUGUUAAGGUUAAUAACCUUAGCAAUUGACGUUAGCGACAGAAGAAGCACCGGCUAACUCCGUGCCAGCAGCCGCGGUAAUACGGAGGGUGCGAGCGUUAAUCGGAAUUACUGGGCGUAAAGGGCACGCAGGCGGUUAAUUAAGUUGGAUGUGAAAUCCCCGGGCUUAACCUGGGAAUGGCAUUCAAGACUGGUUAGCUAGAGUCUUGUAGAGGGGGUAGAAUUCCAUGUGUAGCGGUGAAAUGCGUAGAGAUGUGGAGGAAAUACCGGUGGCGAAAGGCGGCCCCUGGACAAAGACUGACGCUCAUGUGCGAAAAGCGUGGGGAGCAAAACAGGGAUUAGAUACC